CCUACGGGAGGCAGCAGUGAGGAAUAUUGGUCAAUGGACGAGAGUCUGAACCAGCCAAGUAGCGUGAAGGAUGACUGCCCUAUGGGUUGUAAACUUCUUUUAUAUGGGAAUAAACUGUUCCACGUGUGGGAUUUUGUAUGUACCAUAUGAAUAAGGAUCGACGAACUCCGUGCCAGCAGCCGCGGUAAUACGGAGGAUCCGAGCGUUAUCCGGAUUUAUUUGGUUUAAAGGGAGCGUAGGUGGAUUGUUAAGUCAGUUGUGAAAGUUUGCGGCUAAACCGUAAAAGUGCAGUUGAAACUGGCAGUCUUGAGUACAGUAGAGGUGGGCGGAAUUCGUGGUGUAGCGGUGAAAUGCUUAGAUAUCACGAAGAACUCCGAUUGCGAAGGCAGCUCACUGGACUGCAACUGACACUGAGGCUCGAAAGUGUGGGUAUCAAACAGGAUUAGAUACCCCAGUAGUC
rnacentral:rRNA from 1 species